ACUACAUAUAUAAAAAAAUCAGGAAAUGAAAAAUGGAACGAAACAAAUUUCCCGACGAUUGAGGCCCAACGAUUGUUCCCAUAUUGGGACAAGCCAAUAAGAGCCACUUUCGACGUUUCCAUAAAGCAUCACUGCAAUUAUUCAGUUUUCUCAAAUAUGCCGAUACGACAAGAGAAAAUAUACAAACAUAAAUUAAAUAAUACAGAAAUAUGUAUGCAAUGGACAUACUUCGACACCACUCCUUCUAUAUCUGCUCAUCUCGUGAUGGUUAUGAUUUCAUCGAUGCAUUUCUAUCCCAAUAAUGGCAUAGAUAAGGAUUACUUCUGGCGCAAUCCAGACUCAGAGCAUGUACAAUUUGCGGAAAGAGUUUCAAAUAAAAUCAUAAUGAAGUUGAAAUUUGAAUGGUUUAAACCUCUUAAGAAGAUGAAAGUUCCGAAACUGCAACUUGUCGCAAUCCCAGGUUUUCGAAAUGAUAUUAAUAUGAACUUUGGACUCGUCGCAAUAAG